rnacentral:rRNA from 1 species
GUGGGGAAUAUUCCGCAAUGGACGAAAGUCUGACGGAGCAACGCCGCGUGAGUGAUGAAGGUUUUCGGACUGUAAAGCUCUGUUGUUUAGGACGAAAGUGCCUGUUGCGAACAGUUACAGGUAUUGACGGUACUAAACGAGGAAGCCACGGCUAACUACGUGCCAGCAGCCGCGGUAAUACGUAGGUGGCAAGCGUUGUCCGGAAUUAUUGGGCGUAAAGAGCAUGUAGGCGGAGAUUUAAGUCUGUUGUGAAAAUGCGGGGCUCAACCCCGUAUUGCGAUGGAAACUGAAUUUCUUGAGGGCAGGAGAGGAAAGUGGAAUUCCCAGUGUAGCGGUGAAAUGCGUAGAUAAUGGGAGGAACACCAGUGGCGAAGGCGCCUUUCUGGACUGUGUCUGACGCUGAGAUGCGAAAGCCAGGGUAGCGAACGGGAUUAGAUACCCGUGUAGUCC